rnacentral:tRNA from 1 species
UCCCUGGUGGCUCAGAGGGUAAAGCAUCUGCCUACAAUGCAGGAGACCCGGGUUUGAUCCCUGGGAUGGGAA